AUGGCGCAAAAGGAGGCCGGCGUGGCGACGAGCGGCGGCUGCAAGGCCAAGCCGCACGCGGUGGUGGUGGUGUACCCACUGCAGGGCCACGUCAUCCCCGUGACGCACCUCGCGCUGCGGCUGGCAGCGCGGGGCUUCGCCGUCACGCUCGUCAACACGGAGGCCGUGCACGACCAGACGGCGCGCGCGCUCGGCGUCGACCCGGCCGGGCAUGACUUCUUCGCCGGCACACGCGCGUCGGGGAUGGACGUGCGCUACGAGCUUGUCAGCGACGGCCUCCCUGUGGGGUUCGACCGGUCGCUGCACCACGACGAGUUCAUGGGCUCGCUGCUCCACGCGCUCCCCGGCCACGUCGAGGAGGUGCUCGGCCGCGUUGUCGUCGACCCGGCUGCGACGUGCCUCGUCGCUGACACCUUCUUCGUGUGGCCGGCGACGCUGGCCAGCAAGUUCGGCAUCGCGUACGUGUCCUUCUGGACGGAGCCCGCGCUCAUCUUCAACCUCUACUACCACGUUCACCUGCUCACCAACAACGGCCACUUCGGAUGCAACGAGCCUCGGAAGGACACGAUCACCUACAUCCCAGGCGUGCCGGCGAUCGAGCCGCACGAGCUCAUGUCGUACCUCCAAGAGACGGACACCACCAGCGUGGUGCACCGCAUCAUCUUCAAGGCGUUCGACGAGGCGCGGGGCGCCGACUAUGUCCUCUGCAACACCGUGGAGGAGCUGGAGCCGUCCACCAUCGCCGCCCUCCGCGCCGAGAAGCCCUUCUAUGCCGUGGGGCCCAUCUUCCCCGCCGGCUUCGCACGCAGCGCCGUCGCCACCUCCAUGUGGGCCGAGUCCGAUUGCUCCCACUGGCUCGACGCGCAGCCGCCGGGCUCCGUGCUCUACAUCUCCUUCGGGAGCUACGCGCACGUCACAAAGCAGGAGCUGCAUGAGAUCGCGGGAGGAGUCCUGGCCAGCGGCGCGAGGUUCCUGUGGGUGAUGCGGCCGGACAUCGUCAGCUCUGACGACCUGGACCCGCUGCCCGAGGGGUUCGCGUCCGCCGGGCGCGGGCUGGUGGUGCCGUGGUGCUGCCAGGUGGAGGUCCUCUCCCACGCCGCGCUGGGUGGCUUCCUCACGCACUGCGGGUGGAACUCCGUCCUGGAGAGCGUGUGGGCCGGAGUGCCCAUGCUCUGCUUCCCGCUGCUCACCGACCAGUUCACUAACCGGCGGCUCGUCGUGCGGGAGUGGCGCGUCGGCGUGCCUAUCGGGGACCGUGGCGCGGUGUUCGCGGAUGAGGUGAGGGCGAGGAUUGAGGGCGUCAUGUCCGGGAAAGAGGGUGAGGAGCUCCGGGAGGCGGUGAAGAAGAUGAGGGCGACGCUCGAGGCCGCCACGUUGCACGGCGGGUCAUCGCAGCGGAGCUUCGAUGAAUUCGUUGAUGAGCUAACGUGCCGUUGCGGCGGAUGUUAA
rnacentral:rRNA from 1 species